rnacentral:rRNA from 1 species
GUGGGGAAUAUUCCGCAAUGGACGAAAGUCUGACGGAGCAACGCCGCGUGAGUGAUGAAGGUUUUCGGACUGUAAAGCUCUGUUGUUUAGGACGAAAGUGCCUGUUGCAAACAGUUACAGGUAUUGACGGUACUAAACGAGGAAGCCACGGCUAACUACGUGCCAGCAGCCGCGGUAAUACGUAGGUGGCAAGCGUUGUCCGGAAUUAUUGGGCGUAAAGAGCAUGUAGGCGGGAAUCUAAGUCUGUUGUGAAAAUGCGGGGCUCAACCCCGUAUUGCGAUGGAAACUGGGUUUCUUGAGUGCAGGAGAGGAAAGGGGAAUUCCCAGUGUAGCGGUGAAAUGCGUAGAUAUUGGGAGGAACACCAGUGGCGAAGGCGCCUUUCUGGACUGUGUCUGACGCUGAGAUGCGAAAGCCAGGGUAGCGAACGGGAUUAGAAACCCUGGUAGUCC